ACACGGUGACAGCCAUCGUGCCCCCCUGUGAACUGGACUCUUGCGCCUUGGCAGGCCCCUCUUCUUGCAUUCUGGAUGAUGUCAGAACAGGACCUGGUGGAUGUGGUUCAGAUCGCAGUGGAAGACCUGAGUCCUGACCACCCAGUUGUCUUGGAGAGUCAUGUGGUAACGGAUGAAGAUGAGCCUGGUGAGCCUGCAUUGAAAUGCCAGAGACUAGAAAUCAAUUGCCAGGAUCCUUCUAUAAAGUCUUUUCUGUAUUCCAUUAAGCAGACCAUAUGCUUACGGUUGGAUAGCAUUGAGGCCAAGCUGCAAGCUCUGGAGGCCACAUGCAAAUCCCUGGAAGAGAAGCUGGACUUGGUCACCAACAAGCAACAUAGCCCCAUCCAGGUCCCCAUGGUGGCGGGCUCCCCACUCGGUGCCACCCAGACCUGCAACAAAGUACGAUGCGUCGUCCCCCAGACUACAGUAAUACUCAACAAUGAUCGGCAGAACGCCAUUGUAGCCAAGAUGGAAGACCCCUUGAGCAGCAGGGCACCGGAUUCCCUGGAAAAUAUCAUUAGCAAUGCUGUUCCUGGGCGGCGGCAGAACACCAUUGUGGUGAAGGUGCCAGGUCAAGACGACAGCCACAAUGAAGAUGGGGAGAGUGGGUCAGAGGCCAGUGACUCUGUGUCGAACUGUGGCCAGCCUGGGAGCCAGAACAUCGGGAGCAACGUCACACUAAUCACCUUGAACUCAGAAGAGGAUUACCCCAAUGGCACCUGGCUUGGUGAUGAGAACAACCCCGAGAUGAAGGUGCGCUGUGCCAUCAUCCCCUCUGACAUGCCGCACAUCAGCACCAACUGCCGUACUGCCGAGAAGAUGGCGCUCACGCUGUUGGACUACCUCUUCCACUGUGAGGUGCAGGCUGUGUCCAACCUGUCUGGUAAGGGCAAACAUGGAAAGAAGCAGCUCGACCCCCUCAACCAUCUAUGGCAUCUGGUGUCACCUUUUCUAUAAAUUUGGAAUCACAGAAUCUGACUGGUAUCGAAUCAAACAGAGCAUCGAUUCCAAAUGCCGGACAGCGUGGCGGCGAAAACAGCGAGGGCAGAGUCUGGCAGUCAAGAGCUUCUCCCGGAGGACACCGUCCUCGUCCUUUUAUAGCACUUCAGAGACCAUGAUGAGCACCCCACCACCUGCCCCUGAGCUGCAGCAGCCACAGCCUCAAGCUCUGCACUAUACUCUGGCCAACGCCCAGCAGGUGCAGAUCCACCAGAUUGGAGAGGACAGCCAGGUGCAAGUAGGCCAUCUCCACAUAGCCCAGGUGCCGCAGGGGGAGCAAGUGCAGAUCACGCAGGACAGCGAGGGCAAUUUGCAGAUCCAUCAUGUGGGCCAGGAUGGACAGGUGCUGCAGGGAGCCCAGCUGAUUGCUGUAGCCUCCUCAGACCCUGCUGCAGCUGGUGUGGAUGGAUCACCUCUCCAGGGCAGUGAUAUCCAGGUUCAGUAUGUCCAGCUGGCACCUGUGAGUGAGCACGCAGCCACAGCACAGACAGCCGAGACCCUGCAGCCCACCCUGCAACCCGAGAUGCAGCUGGAGCAUGGGGCCAUCCAGAUCCAGUGAGGCAGGGCAGCCACCGCCACCAGGACUGCCACGCCAGCGGCCCAGCUGACAACCUGGUUUCCAUGUGCCCUGCUCUCGAAGUUGGCUAGGGGUGACUGCGAAUUCUACUGUCACGGGUCUGAAAGCCACCUCUGCCACAGGGGACUGCGUCCCAGCCAAACCCUGCAAGGAGGGCCCCCAGUUCGAAUCACACUGACAGUGUCUGCAGGGGAAGCAGCACAGAACAUAUAAAAUACACUUGGAGAAUCAAGAACUACAAUAUUUUGUUUAAACAGCUUUUUUUAAUUUGCUAUGGUGUUUAUAACAAAAAAGAAAAUAGAAAAAAAACUGGAGUAGCAGAAGCCU